CCCGAAUAUCAAGGCGUUAAGUUUCUUCUGGAUGCAGUUACAGUCACAGCUUUCAAGCCAGCAGCUGUCGAUGUAUUUCGAUUCUCUCCUCUCCAUGUUACCUGACCUGCUGCCUGUGAACAUCCUGCACAUAGAACCUUUAUCCUAAUCGAUGUAAUUAAACCUGCCAAUCAAAAAGACAGCCUGGUACAGCACUUGUCAUUAGAUUGACUCCAUGCAAGCCUUUGAAGAUCAUUUAUACAUACAAUUUAAGCAUGAUAGUCAAUAAGUGCCUGCGUUGGCUUCUUAAAAGACUCGCAGUCCUGAGCAUUUACGAUGGAAUUCCUCAUCUUAAAAUAUUGGGAAGGCAGGAAAACACCUGUCACUGACAAAAA